GGAGUGGUGGCCGAGAGGCUGAAGGCGGCGGUUUGCUAAACCGUUAUAGGGGUGAAAACCCCUAUCGAGGGUUCGAAUCCCUCCCACUCCG
rnacentral:tRNA from 1 species